rnacentral:rRNA from 1 species
UUAAAGUGCCCGGCGUAGUAAUCUCGAGACGUGUUUUACGUGCGGCUCUAUGGACAAGUCCCUUGGAAUAGGGCAUCGUAGAGGGUGAGAAUCCCGUACUUGCCAUGGAAGAACCGUGCUUUGCGAUACACGCUCUAAGAGUCGAGUUGUUUGGGAUUGCAGCUCAAAAUGGGUGGUAGACUCCAUCUAAAGCUAAAUAUCGGGGAGAGACCGAUAGCGAACAAGUACCGUGAGGGAAAGAUGAAAAGCACUUUGGAAAGAGAGUUAAAAGUACGUGAAAUUGUCGAAAGGGAAGCACUUGAAGUCAGCCAUGCUGCUUGAGACUCAGCCUGGCCUUUGGGCUUGGUGUAUUUCUCGGAGGC